AAUAUCGUGCCUAUCCACGUACACAUCGUCACGUUUAAUGAGCGCAUUGUUUGGUUCAAUACAGUACUAAAGAACUUAUUGUGUGUGCAGAGUUGUUACUGUUAGCGCUAUAUUAUGUAAUUAAAUUAAUAUUUAAUGUUGUUUCCACCGUAUGGACCAAACUGUUACCCCUUUCUACCAGCAGGUGGCAGUAUUUAAACGACUGACUGUAUUGUGCCUUUGGUAACUGUUUUAAAUCAAGUUUACUGAUACAGAUGUAUUUAUUGAUGUUCAUUUCAUUUUUUUAUAUUAUUUGCAACCUAGUUAUCAUCAUCGUCUGCAUGCCCUUCUGUUUUAACCUGAUUCUAACACUAUCAUCUCCCUGCUGAAAAAAAACUGCAUAGACCAGCAUAAUUCCCAUGCUGGUAUGUUGCUGGUUUAGCUGGUGGUCUCCAGCUAACAUCAGAAAUGUCCUAAUGUAGGCCAUUUAGUCAAAACAAUGAUUUACCAGUGUGCUAUAUACUGUGUGAAUCUUUCUUCUCUAUACACAUUCCAGUGUGUAUAACAUACAACACUCCCAUUGUGUCACGCAAGUGAAGAUAAGCCAUAAAGGUCUUAAACAUUUAUUCAACAUAAUAGCACAGACAUGCUUUCAAAGACAUUGCAUGUGCAAUAUAUGGUUGCAGAACAUUUACCGUAAAGUCCUAAGGCUUAUAAUUCUGUUUAGUAUAAUUGCUUCUAUAUACAGUUCAUGGAGAUCUCUGCUAAUGAGUUUAUGAUUUGAAUCAUGUGUGUUAAAUAAGGGAGACAUACAAAAUGUGCAGAGCAGUGGGAUCCAGGAAUAACAUUGAGAACCACUGGUCUACAGGACCAGAGAAGACAGCAAACCAUGCAGAAGAGACCCCAAAGGAUACUAAAGGACAGUACCUGCCCAGCCACAACCUGUUCACCCUGCUGCCUUCUGGAAACAAUAGAAGUUUCUGCUGCCAGACUGUAGAGCAGCUCCCCCCCCCAAGUUAUCAGACUGGUAAACUCUAGUUCAUCCUUAGCACUCCCCCACUGAUUAUAAUUUAUUUCUGUUUAUUAUAAUUGGUUCUAUAUUAAUGUAUAUUGUCUGCUAUAGCAAAAGCAAGUUACAAACUCAAUUAAUACUUUAUAUUAUAUAACCUGUUACAUUGUGACAAAAUACAUCUACCCUCCUACUUUAAAGAAGAAUAAAGUGAAUGUUUUGGAAAUGCCAAGUCAAAAGUUCUGACCUUAAAAUUAUUGAAAUGUUGGGGAAGGAUGAGGAAGCAAGCAGCUCAUGUGAGGAAACCCACCAAUAUUGGUGCUAAAGCUGUUCUGUACAGAGCAAUGGGCAAAUAUUCAUCCAAGCCAAUAAGCAGGAUUGCUCAAAAGUUACUGGAAACGUUUUGUUGCAAUUAUUGCUGCUUUACUCAGCAUGGACAGCUUGUUUUUAGUAAUGCAAUUAUGUUUUUGGACUUUCUUUUUAGGACCUUGUAAAAUGUUCUAACUUUAGGGCUUAACUGUAAAUGUUCUGCAACCAUAGAUUGCACAUGCAAUGUCUUUGAAAGCAUGUCUGUGCUAUAUAUGUUGAAUAAAUGUUUAAAACUUG